CUGUCUCAUACUGUUUGAGCUGAAGCAUCUCACCCUAUCUUUUCUGUCCUCAGUUUGGGAUUUACACAUCAGCUUUCCUGCUCCUCAGGUCUUUGGGAUCAGACUAAAUUAUACCACCAGCUUUCCUGGGCCACGAGCUUGCUGAAAACACUCUGAGGCAGGAAGCUUUUGUUGAGGAAGAAUUGGGAAGACAUAAUACCCUUGCCCCUCUUGUUCUCCCGCAUUAGUCGACAUUUGGAUUCACCAAACUUGAGCCCUAGAUUGAAGGCCUUCCAUUUCCAGCGCUCUCUAUAAUAAGGGUAAUUAUACAUUUUCAGGAUACUUUGGAAUUCCAGACAGUGGACCCAAGCAUGGAAACAAGCAUAUAAGAUCCAGCAAUACAUGGAAAUUGGAACAAGCAAAUAGAUUAUACUGACAAGUGGCUGAGUCCUCUCACGACUGUACAUCCUUGAGAAGUAGUUCUAGUACAGUAGGAAAAUUAGUGAAAGCAAUAGAGGAUUCUGGAAUUGAAAGAAUUGCUGUUAUGUGCUUGCAUCAAGCAGGGAUCUAGUCUUCCGAUAUAUGAACAUGGAUCAUUGAAGUACCAUGCGAUGCUUUGCCCUGAAAAACCAGAGAAGAAUGGGCCCCAAGAACUGGUGAGAGUAAGCAGUAAGAAUCUAGAGGAACGUGGAGCUCUUUAACCUGAGUAAGCUCGGGCUUAGCUGUUAGCCCUUGGUUAACGGAGCAGGUGGGAACACAGCAUUGUAGUGUUCCCCCAACUUGCUACAUGGCUUUCAGAAAAUUAACUAACUAAUCAUGUCAUAAUAUGAAUUCUUCACUUUUAGUAUUUUUUUUAAUUUUUGCAGCAGUGUUAACUUUGUAGAAAAAUUGAGCAUGAAGUUCCCCUAUGACCCUUCUCACCCCCACAAAGUUCCCCUAUUCUUAAUAUCUCACAUUAGUGUGGUUAAUUUAGUAUAACUGAUGAACUGAUAUUUAUACAUUAUUCUUUUUUCUUUUAAUUAAUUUAUUUUUAUUAUCCUUAAAUUCCAGUAUAAUUAAUAUACAGUGUUAUAUUAAUUUCAGGUGUAUAAUAUAGUGAUUCAACAAUUCUGUACAUUAGUCAGUGGUCAUCAUGGAAAGUGUACUCUUAAUACCCUGCACAUAUUUCUAUACAUUAUUUUUUUAAAUUUUUUAAUGUUUGUUUUACUUUUGAGAGAGAGAGAGAGACCGCGGGAGAGGG